UUUAUGGAGAGUUUGAUCCUGGCUCAGGAUGAACGCUGGCGGCGUGCCUAAUACAUGCAAGUCGAGCGAACGGACGAGAAGCUUGCUUCUCUGAUGUUAGCGGCGGACGGGUGAGUAACACGUGGAUAACCUACCUAUAAGACUGGGAUAACUUCGGGAAACCGGAGCUAAUACCGGAUGAUAUUUUGAACCGCAUGGUUCAAAAGUGAAAGACGGUCUUGCUGUCACUUAUAGAUGGAUCCGCGCUGCAUUAGCUAGUUGGUAAGGUAACGGCUUACCAAGGCAACGAUGCAUAGCCGACCUGAGAGGGUGAUCGGCCACACUGGAACUGAGACACGGUCCAGACUCCUACGGGAGGCAGCAGUAGGGAAUCUUCCGCAAUGGGCGAAAGCCUGACGGAGCAACGCCGCGUGAGUGAUGAAGGUCUUCGGAUCGUAAAACUCUGUUAUUAGGGAAGAACAUAUGUGUAAGUAACUGUGCACAUCUUGACGGUACCUAAUCAGAAAGCCACGGCUAACUACGUGCCAGCAGCCGCGGUAAUACGUAGGUGGCAAGCGUUAUCCGGAAUUAUUGGGCGUAAAGCGCGCGUAGGCGGUUUUUUAAGUCUGAUGUGAAAGCCCACGGCUCAACCGUGGAGGGUCAUUGGAAACUGGAAAACUUGAGUGCAGAAGAGGAAAGUGGAAUUCCAUGUGUAGCGGUGAAAUGCGCAGAGAUAUGGAGGAACACCAGUGGCGAAGGCGACUUUCUGGUCUGUAACUGACGCUGAUGUGCGAAAGCGUGGGGAUCAAACAGGAUUAGAUACCCUGGUAGUCCACGCCGUAAACGAUGAGUGCUAAGUGUUAGGGGGUUUCCGCCCCUUAGUGCUGCAGCUAACGCAUUAAGCACUCCGCCUGGGGAGUACGACCGCAAGGUUGAAACUCAAAGGAAUUGACGGGGACCCGCACAAGCGGUGGAGCAUGUGGUUUAAUUCGAAGCAACGCGAAGAACCUUACCAAAUCUUGACAUCCUUUGACAACUCUAGAGAUAGAGCCUUCCCCUUCGGGGGACAAAGUGACAGGUGGUGCAUGGUUGUCGUCAGCUCGUGUCGUGAGAUGUUGGGUUAAGUCCCGCAACGAGCGCAACCCUUAAGCUUAGUUGCCAUCAUUAAGUUGGGCACUCUAAGUUGACUGCCGGUGACAAACCGGAGGAAGGUGGGGAUGACGUCAAAUCAUCAUGCCCCUUAUGAUUUGGGCUACACACGUGCUACAAUGGACAAUACAAAGGGCAGCGAAACCGCGAGGUCAAGCAAAUCCCAUAAAGUUGUUCUCAGUUCGGAUUGUAGUCUGCAACUCGACUACAUGAAGCUGGAAUCGCUAGUAAUCGUAGAUCAGCAUGCUACGGUGAAUACGUUCCCGGGUCUUGUACACACCGCCCGUCACACCACGAGAGUUUGUAACACCCGAAGCCGGUGGAAUAACCUUUUAGGAGCUAGCCGUCGAAGGUGGGACAAAUGAUUGGGGUGAAGUCGUAACAAGGUAGCCGUAUCGGAAGGUGCGGCUGGAUCACCUCCUUUCU
rnacentral:rRNA from 1 species